GGGGGUGAAUGGACUCGACUCGGGAGGCAGAACUUAAGCUGCAUGCCGAGGUUGCCAGGAGGCCUCGUCCCGUAAGGGUCCCCGCCUGUGGCGGUGGAAAAAACCUGGCAGAAAAAUAAGCGACGCAUCUUGUGGCGUUGCCUUCUCCCUCUGUUAAGAGGGAGGCCCCUUUCAGGAUAAGUCCGCGGUCCUGUAGGGGUUCGGGAAGUCCUCGUUUAAUAACGGGGGCGAGCGGACUGCGCCAGAUGCUUUUGCCUGCGAGCAUCUGGUUAAGAAUAGCAGGCUAUAUCUGCUCAAAUCCUGCCCAUCGGAGUUGAGCAGAUGAAUAUAAAAAGAUGGGCUAAGCAUGUAGAUGCUUAAGGGAGGCCUCACCGAGGACGCGGGUUCGAUUCCCGCCACCUCCACCA
rnacentral:tmRNA from 1 species